ACCUAUGGACACACCGCUUGAGGCGUGCCUGAUCUAAUCUGUUCUCUGAAACUAAGCAAGGGUGGGCCUCAUCAGUACCUGGAUGGGAGACUACCUUGGAAUAUCAAAUGCUGUAGGCU
rnacentral:rRNA from 1 species